rnacentral:rRNA from 1 species
CGUGUAGGCGGUGCGGUAAGUCGGGCGUGAAAUCUCCAGGCUUAACCUGGAGGGGCCGUUCGAGACUGCCGUGCUAGAGUGCGGGAGGGGGAAGUGGAAUUCCCGGUGUAGCGGUGAAAUGCGUGGAUAUCGGGAGGAACACCUGUGGCGAAGGCGGCUUCCUGGACCGCAACUGACGCUGAGGCGCGAAAGCUAGGGGAGCAAACAGGAUUAGAUACCCUGGUAGUCCUAGCCCUAAACGAUGAACACUGGGUGUAGCCCUUCACGGGGCUGUGCCGAAGCUAACGCAUUAAGUGUUCCGCCUGGGAGUACGGUCGCAAGGCUGAA